AGUAGUGUGGCCUAGUGGAAAGAGCACUGGCUUGGGAGUUAGAGGACCUGGGUUCUUACUCCCAGCUCUACUA
rnacentral:tRNA from 1 species